AGAAAACAAGCUUUCUGUUGUUGUGUCUUCUGGUAUUUGUCACAGUAAAUUCACAAAGAAGCACAAUUAGCAAUGAGAUACAUCAUUCUAGCCCUGGUGGUCUUCAUGGUACUGGUUGACCAAACCGACGGCCUAAGUUGCAUUCAAUGCAAUUCUCGGAAAUGUGCAAAGCCAAAGGGAUGCCGAAGAAGGCACUACGUGAAAGACCUUUGCGGGUGUUGUGAUGUAUGUGCUACUAAAUUCGGACAACCUUGCUCUGGAUUGAAACCAAGGUGCGCAAAGAAUAUGUGGUGUAUCAAGAUAGAUGGGAAUUCCGCCGAGGCCAAGAAAAAUUUAGCCUGGCAUGAUCGAUUCACCGGCGUAUGUGGAAGAAUUAGACUCCCCAGACAGUUUUGACCUGAUGUUAAAGUUGAAUCCAGGCCUUGGACAAUAUGAAAGGUUCAUCGUACGAAGUACACAGCAUACUUUGUCAUAUAUACUGAACAAACAUAUUUAAUAAAGUCUUUCUGAACAUCAA